GACGAACCGUGCGAACGUUAUUCGGAAUCACUGGGCUUAAAGCGCGUGUAGGCGGGCGGGAACGUCGGUCGCUGAAAUCCCCCGGCUCAACCGGGGAAGUGGUGCCGAAACGACCCGCCUGGAGGGACGUAGGGGGAGCUGGAACUUCCGGUGGAGCGGUGAAAUGCGUUGAGAUCGGAAGGAACGCCCGUGGCGAAAGCGAGCUCCUGGAGCGUCUGCUGACGCUGAGACGCGAAAGCCAGGGUAGCGAACGGG
rnacentral:rRNA from 1 species